GACACUCAGCACAAACCCCUAAACCCAUGUGUGUGUUUUACCCACUUUUUAAUGUUUCUGAAAUCUGAAUACCUCUUGCUUGAUGUGAACAUUGAAGGUGAUGGUGUUUCUCCUUGUUAAACAAGUGGUACGUCUCACAGUCAUUUACAAUCUAGCCUUAGACUCUAGACUAUUCCAUAAUUCACAGGGCCAACUGGUUAUGCUAUAGGGACUGUGGCUUUAAAAAAAAAAAAGGCACUUAUGCUUUAAAAAAAAAAAAAUACCACUGUCUCCAACUCAUCUCCCCUUUUCGCAGAUAUGCACAAGAGCCACUUAGAAACAAAUUCCAACCUCUACUGGGUAAUUCCUCUUAAAGAGAAAAAAAAUUGAGGUUCUUUUUUUUUUUUCCUGGAUGGUUACAGGAAUCAGGGUCCUAAAUAUUUGGGGGAGUGUCUUUUGCAUCUACCCUGAAUAGAACAGCUUUUGCAGAGGACGAAACAACCACAGCAAAGUAUGGCUGGGCAUCUGGCUACAGUUCACCCUGCUUGCUGGCUAUUGUCUGAUGAUGACCCACAACACACAGCAUCUUAAUAAUCUUUACAGUUGCCCAGUGACCACUGUGAGGAUGUGGAACCUGAGUCUUGGGGACCAAGGGGCUGCCCGAUACCGCAGAGGAAUGCAGGCAGAGCUUGAAUGAAGGCGCAUCUGAUCCCGCAGAGCCACCGAGAUUCUGAGGGGCACAGCAUCCUCUGUGCUUUAACCCAGGAUGCACAUCAGCUUUCCUAAUGCUUUUUCCUGGAGAGACUGGCACACACAGUUCCCCUCCCCACUGCACAGCACUUCUAUGUUCAAGAGGGUCCCUGGGGCUGGGAGGGGUCAGCUUAUAAGUCUGUUUUCUUUCUUUCCAUCACGCCAUCUCUGUGCUUCAGUUUCCUCAUCUUCAUCCUGUGAGAACAGAGCACCCACCUCAUAGAGUCAUUAUGAAGGGUUAAAAGAAAUAGAGAGUAUACAGUAAGCACACGAGUACACAUGCGUGCACUCACGCACCAGCGUUGCAAACAGUUUUUAGCAAUCCCAACUUUCAGGUGAGCAGAGCCAGCAGGGCUCCGAAGAAUCACCUAGUGCAGUGGGAUGGGGAGUGAUGGCUGGACUGGAUGAUGCACUGGGGCGAAACAGACACGGCACCCAGCUCCGGCCCCUCCCAGGGAGCUGAGUCCUCACACCGAGCUGGGGACAUGGCACAUCCUCAGGCCUUUCUUUAUUAGACCUCAGGAAUUCAAAGCAUCAGGAAAGAUGAUUUUCUUUAAUACAAGAGCUUCUUAUUACAGGAAGGAAACAAUUUAAACAUGGCGUCUAGAAAGGGCCACUUAGGUUAGGCGGGAGCGUGGCGCCGAAGCAAUCAUCAGCUUUCCCACCCACAUUUCUGAGAGGAUGUUUUGGGAGUGGGGGUGUGUUUAAACACAAACAAGUCUGAGUCACAGAAUUUGAAACCUGCAGAAGGGAAUUUUCAAGUGAGUCUCUUCAGCUCCAACUCUGUGGGACCAACCGACUUGGGCCAUCUAUUCACUUUGUUGGUUGUUGGCGGGAGAGAUGAAAUACGGGAUUAGAGAAAGAGGGGUGGGGGAAGCCACGAUGUGUAAAGAAAUGAACAAAUCCCUCCAUCCAAACCAGAACAAACAAGCCUGUCCAGGCCUUCUGCUCCAUUGGCUGGCCCGUUGCCUCACCUCACUCCAGCUUGGAGUAAACACGCGGGGAAGGGAAAUGCAAGGCGGAUGCAGUGCCGGGCAUCACCAAACACUAGCUAGUUCCUGGAAGGGACACAAGCCGUUCCCAGCCUCUGCUAAGUGGCCAGAUGUUUUCCUCAUUAACGCUUUCCUAGGGUAGGAAUGAUUCUGGCUUGUUUAAUACAAGAUUGGUAGUCUUUCUGCAAGGACUCAGAGCUGUCUACAUUCAAUUGCCUUUAGAGAAAAAACUCUUAAAAUGUCUUCUGGUAUGCAGCAUCGUCUAUGAAAUGUUUACCCUGAAUCCGGCCUUGCUGCCAGACUGAACUCCAGCUUACAGGAAAUACCAACAGUAGCUAAAAGACAAGAGGAAUAAACAGUCACACAAAUCCAGAUUGUGAGACAUUCUCCAGGGCAACUCUUCAAGACUCUUCACUCAACCUUGUAAAAAGUUAAAUCUGCAGAUUUGGAACCCACGGAUAUGGAGGGCCGACUGUACUAGUGAAACAAGGCACUAGUUUGAAAGAGCAGCGUUAUGAAAUCCCAGUGUGGGUGAAUUUUGUUACCCGAUUACAACAAAAAGAAGCCCUGGGAAGGUGAAGCUGUCCUUGGUUUUCAGUCUACAGAGACCAGCAUGAUGGGAAUAUCAAGAACCCUGGAGACAAAGACAUCCCGUGCAGAUUUUUGUGGAAGGAUUAACAAACCAACUAGCAGGACUCGGUAAGUUCUGCCAGGCAGCAGUGGCCCGAGCACCACCACGGACAGCUGCACACACAAAGGGUGUGUGGGAUGCCCACAGGAGAGCCCAAAGCUGGGGGCUCCCUGACCCUAGAGGCUGAGCAGGAGAAUCACGGGGCUCACCUCCUAAAAGACCCUGUAAUUUUCAGUUGACUAAUGGGGGUAAAAUCAACACGUGAAUCACCUUUCAAGUAUUUAAUUUAAUUAGACAAGGAAAAUGAGGCUUCUUUAAAAUUCUUACUUGGUAUUAACUUGUGUCACAAAGCAGCCUUGCGUAAUUGGUAAAAGUGAAAAAGUGAUUACCGAGGCUUAAGCUUAUUUAUCACAGUUGCUGCACUUUCACAAAGUGAGUUUUCUGGUGCUAAACCCUCUCUGCCAGAGGAGUACAGACCCUGGAGCACAGAUUCCAGUCUUUUUAUAAACCACCUCUAAUAAGCUGCAGGAAUAGGAUGGGUGGGGGAGGGGUAUUACUAACACCCCACCCACUGGAGCUCAGAGCUUGGUCUGUCGCCCUGGGGGCCCUUUCUCCCCCAUCCUGUCUUCUCUGUCACUUUACAAUCAGGCAGUGAUGGCCAGUGAGGGAGCCCUUAGCUCAUCUUUAAACCUUGGCAAGACUUGCCCAGGGUCAACAGCCGUUACCAGGACGCUUGAUGCCCAUGUCACAGACCUUUUUGGUCUUCAGUGAGGUCAUCAGAAAGAAGAGGGACCAGGAUCUCGGAAACCAAAUCAGAAACGUUCCCCAGCAGCCCUUUUUUUCCAGUAGCCCUGUCCGCUGUUCCAGUGCACUAGUAACUUCCAUCUAUCUCCUCUUCUCCCCAAGGUUUCAAACAUUUUCAAGGCAGGUUCUAGACCCCGUUCGUCUUCCUGGGGGACUGACUGCAGCAGGUAGGAGGCACUGGAUGCAACUGUAUUGAAAGAAAGUCCUCUCCACGUUAAUAACCCCCAGAUUGCAGGAGUCAUGCUCCUCAACUCGGACUAAAACUCCCACACAAUGAGGGGAUGUUUGCAACGUGCCAUUCUCUGUGCUGGGAUCCAAAAACUGAGGAAAAACAGACCCAGCCUGCAAAGAGUCUACAGUCCAGUGGGCUGGAAGACAACUUUUCAUUUUGGGGAAAAAUAUUAAAUGAAAGCUCAGAGAAUAAUAGUACAAAUACCCACGUGCUCACGACCUAGCUAUCUAACUUUUGUCAUAUUCGUGUGGCCUCCCCCAAGCCAAAAACCAGACAAAUGAAAUACAUAUUACAGCAGGCCAGGGAGGCCUGGGACCCGGGACCGAUAGACCGCCGAUUCCACUGCAUUUCCCUUUGGGAAAAUACUUGAUUGGGUCAGUUGGAAAAUAUAAGUGCUCGAGAAUAGGACUAUUGAAAUCCUGCCAAGAAUUCCAAGACCCCGAAUAUUUCAUUAAGCAUCUCUGGCCCCUCUACCUCCACCUCAGCAGGCUGCAUCCUGGUUAGGAGGGCACAGAGCUGACAGGGGUUGCCACCGUCCCCCCUCCUGCCAGGCUAGUCUUCAGACCCAGGGGUAGGCUAGGCCUCCCUCAGGAAUUCCCCCAGAACAUUUGGGUCACUGCUUGCCACAGGAGUUCCAACCUGUUCCCCCACCCCAAGGCCAUCUGCCCGAUGUUUCUUGACCCAGGUCCUCGAUUAUGCUCAGUCUCCUAUCAGACUGAGGUGGCACUUCAGACAUCCUCUUUCCUUUACCUUGUCUGUUUUUCCACUUUCCGAUGGGGUGAUCAAACCCAUAAAAUUUAUAAAUAUGCGCAAUGUUUGGUAUGAUCAUUAUACUUCAAUAAGACUUUAAAAAGUUCUUAGUUUUAUUUUUAUUCUUCAUUUAUUUUUGUUAAAGCUGAUUUACAAUGUGGUGCCAAUUUCUGCUGUACAGCACAGUGACCCAGUCAUA